rnacentral:rRNA from 1 species
GAUGAACGCUAGCGGCAGGCCUAACACAUGCAAGUCGAGGGGUAGAAGGCUUCGGCCUUUGAGACCGGCGCACGGGUGCGUAACGCGUAUGCAAUCUGCCUUGCACUAAGGGAUAGCCCGGAGAAAUCCGGAUUAAUACCUUAUAGUAUAUUGAUGUGGCAUCACAUUAUUAUUAAAGAUUUAUCGGUGUAAGAUGAGCAUGCGUCCCAUUAGCUAGUUGGUAUGGUAACGGCAUACCAAGGCAAUGAUGGGUAGGGGUCCUGAGAGGGAGAUCCCCCACACUGGUACUGAGACACGGACCAGACUCCUACGGGAGGCAGCAGUGAGGAAUAUUGGUCAAUGGGCGCAAGCCUGAACCAGCCGUGCCGCGUGCAGGAUGACUGCCCUAUGGGUUGUAAACUGCUUUUGUACGGGAAGAAACACUCCUACGUGUAGGAGCUUGACGGUACCGUAAGAAUAGGAUCGGCUAACUCCGUGCCAGC